CCCCUCCACUCCUGAGUCGGACGGCGCGCUGGCCGAUGUCUUCGUUUGGGCAGUAGCGUCGGGCGAAAAGGAGUGGAUCCUUUGUGUAUCAAGUUCCGACCGUACCGUGGGUUGAUAUGAUGUCAGGCGUCUCAUGAAUGUCGGGCGAUUCACUGGCGUCAGAUGUCCAGUCGGUGUCAGACGUCUCGUCGGUGUCAGAUGUCCUGUUCCGUCGGCGUCAGACGUUCUGUCGGUG
rnacentral:lncRNA from 1 species